AGGCAGCAGUGGGGAAUUUUGGACAAUGGGCGCAAGCCUGAUCCAGCAAUGCCGCGUGCAGGAUGAAGGCCUUCGGGUUGUAAACUGCUUUUGUACGGAACGAAACGGUCCUUUUUAAUACAGAGGGCUAAUGACGGUACCGUAAGAAUAAGCACCGGCUAACUACGUGCCAGCAGCCGCGGUAAUACGUAGGGUGCGAGCGUUAAUCGGAAUUACUGGGCGUAAAGCGUGCGCAGGCGGUUAUGUAAGACAGAUGUGAAAUCCCCGGGCUCAACCUGGGACCUGCAUUUGUGACUGCAUAGCUAGAGUACGGUAGAGGGGGAUGGAAUUCCGCGUGUAGCAGUGAAAUGCGUAGAUAUGCGGAGGAACACCGAUGGCGAAGGCAAUCCCCUGGACCUGUACUGACGCUCAUGCACGAAAGCGUGGGGAGCAAACAGGAUUAGAUACCCUGGUAG
rnacentral:rRNA from 1 species